GACGAACGCUGGCGGCGUGCUUAACACAUGCAAGUCGAACGGAAAGGCCCUGCUUUUGUGGGGUGCUCGAGUGGCGAACGGGUGAGUAACACGUGAGUAACCUGCCCUUGACUUUGGGAUAACUUCAGGAAACUGGGGCUAAUACCGGAUAGGAGCUCCUGCUGCAUGGUGGGGGUUGGAAAGUUUCGGCGGUUGGGGAUGGACUCGCGGCUUAUCAGCUUGUUGGUGGGGUAGUGGCUUACCAAGGCUUUGACGGGUAGCCGGCCUGAGAGGGUGACCGGCCACAUGGGCACUGAGGUAGGGCCCAGACUCCUAAGGGAGGAAGCAGUGGGGAAUAUUGCACGAUGGGCGGAAGCCUGAUGCAGCAACGCCGCGUGCGGGAUGACGGCCUUCGGGUUGUAAACCGCUUUCGCCUGUGACGAAGCGUGAGUGACGGUAAUGGGGAAAGAAGCACCGGCUAACUACGU
rnacentral:rRNA from 1 species